rnacentral:rRNA from 1 species
UCUUCCUACGGGGCGUAGCAGUGGGGAAUAUUGGACAAUGGGGGGAACCCUGAUCCAGCGACGCCGCGUGAGUGAAGAAGUAUUUCGGUAUGUAAAGCUCUAUCAGCAGGGAAGAAAAUGACGGUACCUGACUAAGAAGCCCCGGCUAACUACGUGCCAGCAGCCGCGGUAAUACGUAGGGGGCAAGCGUUAUCCGGAUUUACUGGGUGUCAAGGGAGCGUAGACGGUGCAGAAAGUCUGAUGUGAACGGUCGGGGCCAUACCCCGGGACUGCAUUGGAAACUGUUGAACUGGGGUACAGGAGAG